UACGGGGGGGGCAAGCGUUGUUCGGAAUUACUGGGCGUAAAGGGCUCGUAGGUGGCCAACUAAGUCAGACGUGAAAUCCCCAGGCUCAACUUGGGAACUGCGUCUGAUACUGGAUGGCUUGAAUUCGGGAGAGGGAUGCAGAAUUCCAGGUGUAGCGGUGAAAUGCGUAGAUAUCUGGAGGAAUACCGGUUGUGAAUGCUGCGGCGAGGACCGAGAUCUACACUGAUGAGCGAAAGCUAGGGGAGCAAACGGG
rnacentral:rRNA from 1 species